rnacentral:rRNA from 1 species
UAAUACAGAGGGUGCAAGCGUUGUUCGGAAUUAUUGGGCGUAAAGCGCAUGUAGGCGGCUAUCUAAGUCUGGUGUGAAAGCCCGGAGCUUAACUCCGGAAGUGCACUGGAUACUGGAUAGCUAGAGGACGAGAGAGGAAAGUGGAAUUCCUGGUGUAGGGGUGAAAUCCGUAGAUAUCAGGAGGAACAUCGGUGGCGAAGGCGGCUUUCUGGCUCGUAACUGACGCUGAGAUGCGAAAGCGUGGGGAGCAAACAGG